CCGUUUCAUGUGUUUCAUACGGGAUCCAAUGUUGUUUUUUUUUCGCUUGUUUUAAUUCAGCCUAUCCAACCAACGUGUUUAACCAACGUGUUUAACCAACGUGUUUAACCAACGUGUUUAACCAACGUGUUAAACCAACAUGUUUAACCAACGUGUUUAACUAACCAACCAACGUGUUUAACUAACCAAUCAAUCAAUGCAUGUUUCCGUUUCAUGUGUUUCAUACGGGAUCCAAGGUUUUUUUUUUCGCUUGUUUUAAUUGAGCCUAUCCAACC
rnacentral:lncRNA from 1 species